UCCAGGAGCCACAAGUGGCAACCGUUUUUAUUGGGCCUAAAGCGUCCGUAGCAGGUCUAGUAAAUCUUCUGUGAAAUCAUUAGGCUUAACUUAAUGGUGUGCAGAAGAGACUGCUAAACUUGAGAUUGGGAGGAGUCAGAGGUAUUUUUGGGGGAGCGGUAAAAUGCUAUAAUCCCAAAAGGACCACCUGUGGCGAAGGCGUCUGACUAGAACAAAUCUGACUGUGAGGGACGAAAGCUAAGGGAGCAAUCCGGAUUAGAUACCCCCGUA
rnacentral:rRNA from 1 species